rnacentral:lncRNA from 1 species
AUGGAGGAGGCGUCCAGCGGCGGCGGCGAUCUGCGCUGGGGGCGCGAAGGCUUCCUCAUCACCUGGGCAGGGGGCUCGGCCGGCUCUGCUGGGACGCAGGGCGCUCUAAAAACACACACACGCACACACACACACACACAGCAUCACACCACGCAGCCGGGCUUCUCGGCGCCGCAGCCCGGCUCCCCGAGCCCUCGGCGCGGCCAUUACCGCCUCUCCGGGGACCCGCCUGGAAAGGCUCCAAGGCGCGGCUCCACGGGCUUCGUAAGCGGUCUCGCUCCCCCUUCCCUCGGCUCCGACAACAAUGGAGCCCGGCUCGGGAGUCCGGCUCCCGCGGGGCCUCCGCCCGGCCUCGCCCCUGCCGCUGCCCAGCCCUCGCCGCGCACCCCGGCCGCCAUCUGUGACCCCCGCUCCCCGCUGCCGGCGCCGCGGGGCCCGCGCCGGCCCGCCGAGGCCCCGCGGCCAGGCCGCCCUCCGCGGGGCCUGCCCGGUGGCCGCCGCGCCGCCCGGCUGCGGGGGGUGGGGGGUGGGGGGUGGGGGGGGCGCUCUGACCUUUCCUACCGACGCCCAGGGGCCGGCCCCGGCCCGAGGCCCAUCCUAAGUGAUGGGUUGUUUUUCUUUUCUUUAACCCACUCAUCCUCCCUCCAAGCCGGAGCCCGCUCCCCCUUUCGCCCCCCGCCCCCGCCUCGUUCCCGAAAAGAAAUAGACUGCAGCCCGGCCGCCCGACAACUCACUCCAAGUGAGGGGUUGAAGCGCCCCAGGCCGCGGGCUCCGCGCACCCACCCUCCCUCUCCUCAAGGGACACCUCACAGGUGCGCCUCCGAGCCGCGCGCGCGCGCUCCGCACACCCAGACGCCUCCGGGGGACAGCGCGCGUGCGCACGCACGGGGCCGACGAGCCCCGGGGGAGCGGGGGCCGCACGCAUGCGCGCCGUCCGGCCCUCGCCCCGGCAACCCCCCUCGCCUCCGCCCCCGUCGGCCGCCCGCGCGCGCCCUCCCCCCCCCCAAUCCCAGGCUGGUCCCGGGUACCCACCCCCGCAACCCCGGCCCUGCGCGCGCGCUCCCGCUCGCCCGCUCGCUCCUCCUUCCCCGCCCCACCCGGGCCCGCGUUACCCUGGGCAACCGCAGUGCGGCCGCACCUGAGCUCUGCGCCUGCGUCCCACCGGCCAGACCCUCCCUGCCCCUCGGUCCCGUCCCCUGCCCCCCCACAGCUGGGGGAGUGGGGCAUCGUCCCCUCCCCGCGAAGUGA